rnacentral:rRNA from 1 species
GCAAGUCGAGCGCUUUCCUUCGGGAAGGAGCGGCGGACGGGUUAGUAACGCGUGGGAAUAUACCCUUCACUACGGAAUAGCCUCGGGAAACUGAGAGUAAUACCUUAUACGCCCUUUGGGGGAAAGAUUUAUCGGAGAAGGAUUAGCCCGCGUUAGAUUAGGUAGUUGGUGGGGUAAUGGCCUACCAAGCCUACGAUCUAUAGCUGGUUUGAGAGGAUGAUC